rnacentral:rRNA from 1 species
GACGAACGCUGGCGGUGUGCUUCACACAUGCAAGUCGAACGAGGUAGCAAUACCUAGUGGCGGACGGGUGAGUAACGCGUGGGAAUCUGCCUUUAGAUGGGGGGAUAACGGGUCGAAAGACUCGCUAAUGCCGCAUAUGACGAAAGUUGAAAGGAGUAAUCCGUCUAAAGAUGAGCCCGCGUCCGAUUAGCUAGUUGGUAGAGUAAAAGCCUACCAAGGCGACGAUCGGUAGCUGGUCUGAGAGGAUGGAUCAGCCACAAUGGGACUGAGACACGGCCCAUAC